GACGAACGCUGGCGGCGUGCCUAAUACAUGCAAGUCGAGCGGACCACUUCGGUGGUCAGCGGCGGACGGGUGAGUAACACGUGGGCAACCUGCCUGUAAGACUGGGAUAACACCGGGAAACCGGUGCUAAUACCGGAUAAUCCUUUCCUUCACAUGAAGGGAAGCUGAAAGACGGUUUCGGCUGUCACUUACAGAUGGGCCCGCGGCGCAUUAGCUAGUUGGUGAGGUAACGGCUCACCAAGGCAACGAUGCGUAGCCGACCUGAGAGGGUGAUCGGCCACACUGGGACGGAGACACGGCCCAGACGCCUACGGGAGGCGGCAGUAGGGAAUCUUCCGCAAUGGACGAAAGUCUGACGGAGCAACGCCGCGUGAGCGAUGAAGGCCUUCGGGUCGUAAAGCUCUGUUGUCAGGGAAGAACAAGUACCGGAGUAACUGCCGGUACCUUGACGGUACCUGACCAGAAAGCCACGGCUAACUACGUGCCAGCCGCCGCGGUAACAC
rnacentral:rRNA from 1 species